rnacentral:rRNA from 1 species
UACGUAGGGUGCAAGCGUUGUCCGGAAUUAUUGGGCGUAAAGAGCUCGUAGGCGGUUUGUCGCGUCUGCUGUGAAAACUCAGGGCUUAACCCUGAGCCUGCAGUGGGUACGGGCAGACUAGAGUGUGGUAGGGGAGAUCGGAAUUCCUGGUGUAGCGGUGGAAUGCGCAGAUAUCAGGAGGAACACCGGUGGCGAAGGCGGAUCUCUGGGGCCAGUAACUGACGCUGAGGAGCGAAAAGCAUGGGGAG